rnacentral:rRNA from 1 species
GGAUCAAUAUAUCAGUCGUGCCUCUGGUUCGUACUGGUAUCAUUGAUUUCUCCUUUCUGACGAACCAUGAUGUCAUUAAUUUGGUGUUAUGGGGAGUUAGGACUGUUACUUUGAAAAAAUUAGAGUGUUUAAAGCAGGCAUUAGCUUGAAUACAUUAGCAUGGAAUAAUGAAAUAGGACGUUUGACCCUAUUUUGUUGGUUUCUAGGAUCGACGUAAUGAUUAAUAGGGAUAGUUGGGGGCAUUAGUAUUCAAUUGUCAGAGGUGAAAUUCUUGGAUUUAUUGAAGACUAACUACUGCGAAAGCAUUUGCCAAGGAUGUUUUCAUUAAUCAAGAACGAAAGUUAGGGGAUCGAAGACGAUCAGAUACCGUCGUAGUCUUAACCAUAAACUAUGCCGACUAGGGAUCGGAUGAUGUUAAUUUUAUAAUGACUCAUUCGGCGCCUUACGGGAAACCAAAGUGUUUGGGUUCCGGGGGGAGUAUGGUCGCAAGGCUGAAACUUAAAGGAAUUGACGGAAGGGCACCACCAGGGGUGGAGCCUGCGGCUUAAUUUGACUCAACACGGGGAAACUCACCAGGUCCAGACAUAGUAAGGAUUGACAGAUUGAGAGC